rnacentral:rRNA from 1 species
GACAGAGGGUGCGAACGUUGCUCGGAAUCAUUGGGCGUAAAGCGCGUGUAGGUGGCUUUUCACGUCGGAUGUGAAAGCCCGGGGCUCAACCCCGGCAGUGCAUCCGAAACGAGGGAGCUAGAGUGCUGGAGAGGCGGGUGGAAUUCCCGGUGUAGAGGUGAAAUGCGCAGAGAUCGGGAGGAACACCCGUAGCGAAGGCGGCACUCUGGGCCGGUACUGACGCUGAGGAGCGAAAGCGUGGGGAGCAAACAGG